UAGCAUGUUUCCAAGGGCUAUGGAUGCUUGUGGCCAUGGGAUCUCCCAACUAUGCAAAAGCAAUCUGGAAAGUGUUUGACAGCUCAGGUCACCACAGUACCUUCAGUUGCCACUUAUCUUUCCUAUAAUA
rnacentral:snoRNA from 1 species